CUGUAUUGCAUCCUGGCGAUAAAGGUGCCCCUGCACAUGUGCGUGCCGUCUGCUUGCUUCCUUGCUGUACUGAUACUGCUGCUUUAUGUCUGGGGAAGAGAUAAAGAGAAAAAGGAAAAUUAGCCACCAGUCUCCGAGAGCUGGGGAAUGUUUGGAACAUUGAAUGGUGCCAUCUAUUCUCUGCUGAUGCUGAAGAAACCCCUUUACAUGUGUCUACCAGCCACCAUCUGUCUUGCCAUAUUACUCCUGCUUCUGCAGGUCUGGAGAAAAGAGAGAAAGAAACAGAAGGAAGAAUAAUGAACCUCAGUCCGAGAGUGCUGUGCAUCAUUUUGGGUUCUACGUAGUAAUUGAAAUAUUUGUUAAAAUUGGAAAUGAUGUAAAACAUGCCAACUGAAAGGAAUUAAUGCCAUGCUUUGAUAAAACUUCCAUGAACAAGCCGGUGGGAAUGACGGAAUGCUGAUUAUUAAGUACAUAUUACAUUCAUAAGAAAGUAAUCAGACUGCUGCGAUGUGAAUAUUAGGGCACAAAUGGGUUUCAGCAAUGGGAAAAACUUUCAGUUAUUGUAUAUCUAAAUUAAUGGGAUUAAUUCACCAGAUUAAUGUUGGAAUAUAAGAAGUAAGACAGGAGUAGGUUAUUUGCCCCUUCAAACUGCUCUGUCAUUGAUCAAGAUCAUGGUUGAUCUGCUCAAACAUUUUCCUGCACUACAUCCAUUUUAUGUUGAUUCCCUUACUUUUCAGAAAUGCAUUGUAGAGUCAUGGAGUUAUACAGCACAGAAACAGGUCCCUCGGCCCAGCUCCGCAAUGCCAACCGAGAUGCCCAUUUGCCCUGUUUGCAGUGUCAGUCUCUGUUUGAAAUAGACUCAAUGAUUGAGCUUCCACAGACCUCCACAUUAGAGAUUUAUUUGCUCUCCAUGAAGAAAUGUGCCCUCGCUUCAGUCCUAAAUAAGCUAGCACUUAUUCUGAAUGUGUGAUCUCUGAUCCUGGACCCCUCAGACAAGGGAAACAUGCUUACUGCUCCAGACGGGUGAGUUUCAAAAGAAAUUUGUAAAUAUUAAUGAGAUGUCUUCUCAUUGGUACAAAUCGAGAAUACAGACUUGAAUUUGCUCAAUCUGCCUUCCUAUAAUAAACUUGCCCCCCCCAUAACAAGUUUGGUGAAUCUUUGCUUAACUCCCUCUACGGUAAAACAAAUGUAUAUAGCUUCCAUGACUAGUGCCAAAUAUUCAAAUAUCUCAGUAGACAUGCUAGUUUUUAUGAAACAUUUUAUCUGUAUUAUUCUAUAAAUUAUCUAAUGCGAGUUGAUUAUUAUAAGAAUUUGGAAAUCAGCCAUAAGCACUUCUAAAUGUCAUGAUAUUUGAUUUUUUUUGCUCAGCUACUUUUGCAUGUAUCAUAUAGUUGAUAAUGCAGGCAAUCUGCAGGGGAAUAUAUAGCAACUCGCAUAUAAAAUGUAAAUGGAGGAAGAUGUGAAUUUUCUCGGAAGGAACCAUAGAUGCUGGCUUAAGCCGUAGAUAGACACAAAAAGCUGGAGUAACUCAGAGGGACAGGCAGCAAUUCUGGAGAGAAGGAAUAGGUGACGUUUCAGGUCUGAAGAAGGGUUCCAAAGUGACACGCCACCCAUUCCUUCUCUCCAGAGAUACUGCCUGUCCCGCUGAGUUACUCCAGCUUUUUGUGUCUAUCUAAGAUUUGUAGUUUGUUCUGCGUUCUACACCUCUUGCAAUCUGACCCAGUUCAAUCUGAUCAGAGACACUAGGCAGGUGUACAGGGGCAUUGGAAUACUUCAAUGCAAACAGAGCAAACCGAGCAGGAAGAGGAAGCUAAAUGGUGUUAAUUCCUACAGAAUUGAACAAGUAAUUGUGAUGGUUCAUUGUUAUUAAGAUAUAUCACUGCUGAGUUGAUUGUCAUUAAAGGGAAGCUGCUACUUCUUUUGUACCAGCGGCAUGCUGCAUACUGAUGUCUGAAUUUAAUUAUGCAUCAUCAGGCUCUAUUGUAUAGUCUCAUUGUGCCAAAUCCUACGCAUGUUACAUGCUGUGCUUACCCAAUUAAUAUUGCAAUUGAGAAUCGAAUAAAAGGAUUGUUUUAAUAAAAAGUCGCACAUUGUAAACCUCAGAAAGGAAUUACUUUCAAACAAAAUUAAACUGAUUCUGUCUGAA